rnacentral:tRNA from 1 species
GGGGACAUCGGCGGGCUCGCCCGUCCCUCGCGCGAACGCGAGACGACCUUGUCGCUGCCGUCGAGCCGUUCGACGCGGCAUGUCUCGGC